GACGAACGCUGGCGGCGUGCUUAACACAUGCAAGUCGAACGGAAAGGCCCCCUUGUGGGGUACUCGAGUGGCGAACGGGUGAGUAACACGUGAGUAACCUACCCUUGACUUUGGGAUAACUUCAGGAAACUGGGGCUAAUACCGGAUAGGAGCUCCGGCUGCAUGGGGGGGGUUGGAAAGUUUCGGCGGUUGGGGAUGGACUCGCGGCUUAUCAGCUUGUUGGUGGGUUAGUGGCUCACCAAGGCUUUGACGGGUAGCCGGCCUGAGAGGGUGACCGGCCACAUUGGGACUGAGAUAGGGCCCAGUCGCCUACGGGAGGCAGCAGUUGGGAAUAUUGCACAAUGGGCGGAAGCCUGAUGCAGCAACGCCGCGUGCGGGAUGACGGCUAUCGGGUUGUAAACCGCUUUAGCCUGUGACGAAGCGUGAGUGACGGUAAUGGGUAAAGAAGCACCGGCUAACUACGUG
rnacentral:rRNA from 1 species